AGUCUGCAACUCGACUCCAUGAAGUCGGAAUCGCUAGUAAUUCGAGAUCAGCAUGCUCGGGUGAAUGCGUUCCCGGGCCUUGUACACACCGCCCGUCACACCACGAAGUCGGUUUUACCCGAAGCCGGUGAGCUAACUCGCAAGAGAAGCAGCCGUCUACGGUAGGGGCCGA
rnacentral:rRNA from 1 species